rnacentral:rRNA from 1 species
UACGUAGGUGGCAAGCGUUGUCCGGAUUUACUGGGCGUAAAGAGCGCGCAGGCGGUUGUGCAAGUCGCGUGUGAAAGCCCCCGGCUCAACUGGGGAGGGUCACGCGAUACUGUUCGACUUGAAGGCAGGAGAGGGAAGUGGAAUUCCCGGUGUAGUGGUGAAAUGCGUAGAUAUCGGGAGGAACACCAAUUGCGAAGGCAGCUCGCUGGGACGUUACUGACGCUGAGACGCGAAAGCGUGGGGAGCAAACAGG